GAUGAACGCUGGCGGCGUGCCUAACACAUGCAAGUCGAACGGACGGACCAGACGCUUGCUUCUCUGAUGUUAGCGGCGCACGGGUGAGUAACACGAGGAUACCCUCCCUAUCAGAGUGAUAAAAUUUCGGAAAACGGGCUCAUAUCGCGUAUAAGCUCUUGAUGCAUUGGGUUCAAUAGUAAAUGACGGUCUUUCGGUAACUACUCGAUGUAUCCCGGCUGCAUUGUCUAGGUGGUAAUGUAACGGCUUAUCAAGGCAACCCUGCAUAGCCGACCUGAGAGGGUGAUAGGCCACACUGGAACUGAGACACGGACCAGAGUACUACGGGAGGCAGCAGUAGGGUAUCGUCCGCAAUGGGCGAAAGCCUGGCGGAGUGACGGCGCGUGAGUGAUGAAGGUCUGCCGAUCGUAAAGCUCUGUUAUGAGGGAAGAACAUAUGUGUAAGGAACUGUGCACAGCUUGACGGUAACUAAUCAGAAAGCCACGGCUAACUACGUG
rnacentral:rRNA from 1 species